rnacentral:lncRNA from 10 species
ACAAUUAUUGUGUUGCACCCUCCCAGGCGCCCAGUCCAAACCCCGUCAGAAUAACCACCCGGGACAGCGGUGGUCGAAGUAACUACGCCUAACUUUUCGCUUUCCAUCGUGUCCCCUCCAUAAAAACACUGCUGGGCCCCCGGAAUCCAAAGGCGAAGGAGGCACACUCCCUGCCUUAGACUUGUUGAGAGUUUUAUAGGGGCAGUGCAUAACGUACAUGAUGGUGUAUGACGAUUCGGAUGGUAGUACGAGUCAUAAACUCAAAUUCCAACAGCAUCCAGCCAGGCAACAUCUCUCUCUCUGUGU